GGCGAGGGGAGUGAAAAAGAACCUGAAACCGUGUACGUACAAGCAGUGGGAGCACAGGUUUACCUGUGUGACUGCGUACCUUUUGUAUAAUGGGUCAGCGACUUAUAUUCUGUAGCAAGGUUAACCGUAUAGGGGAGCCGUAGGGAAACCGAGUCUUAACCGGGCGUUAAGUUGCAGGGUAUAGACCCGAAACCCGGUGAUCUAGCCAUGGGCAGGUUGAAGGUUGGGUAACACUAACUGGAGGACCGAACCGAC
rnacentral:rRNA from 3 species